rnacentral:rRNA from 1 species
GACGAACGCUGGCGGCGUGCCUAAUACAUGCAAGUAGAACGCUGAAGGAGGAGCUUGCUUCUCCGGAUGAGUUGCGAACGGGUGAGUAACGCGUAGGUAACCUGCCUGGUAGCGGGGGAUAACUAUUGGAAACGAUAGCUAAUACCGCAUAACAGUAGAUGUUGCAUGACAUUUGCUUAAAAGGUGCAAUUGCACCACUACCAGAUGGACCUGCGUUGUAUUAGCUAGUUGGUGAGGUAACGGCUCACCAAGGCAACGAUACAUAGCCGACCUGAGAGGGUGAUCGGCCACACUGGGACUGAGACACGGCCCAGACUCCUACGGGAGGCAGCAGUAGGGAAUCUUCGGCAAUGGACGGAAGUCUGACCGAGCAACGCCGCGUGAGUGAAGAAGGUUUUCGGAUCGUAAAGCUCUGUUGUAAGAGAAGAACGAGUGUGAGAGUGGAAAGUUCACACUGUGACG